AUGCAAAGAACUUUGAAAAGAGAGUUAAAGAGUACCUGAAAUUGCUGAAAGGGAAGCAAAGGAAACCAGUGCGUUGUGCGUGUCAUAUUUCUCCUGCUGCUUGCGGUGGGGGCGCUGUGGCCGUGCGUAGCGUCAGCAUCGGUUCGUACUUCGGAGCAAACGGUGUGGCUGGAGGUUAUUCCAUUACGGGAUGAAUGACAGCCGCUCUAAGUUCUGGAGGGGACCGAGGUUAGUCACAUGCUCGUGAUGCUGGCUAAAUGGUUUUCUUUACCCCGUCUUGAAACACGGACCAAGGAGUCUAACAUAUGUGCGAGUACAUGGGUGACAAACCUACGUGCGCAAUGAAAGUAACAGUGGUUGGAUCCGGUAAAACGGUGCACAAUCCGCCGGCCACAAUCCUUCGGGAGAAAGGUCUGAGUGUGAGCACACAUGUUGGGACCCGAAAGAUGGUGAACUAUGCCUGAAUAGGGUGAAGCCAGGGGAAACUCUGGUGGAGGCUCGUAGCGAUUCUGACGUGCAAAUCGAUCGUCAAAUUUGGGUAUAGGGGCGAAAGACUAAUCGAACCAUCUAGUAGCUGGUUCCCUCCGAAAUUUCCCUCAGGAUAGCUGCAAUCGAUAUUCAAUUUUAUCA
rnacentral:rRNA from 3 species